AUCCUCUCUCUUCUCGCCGUGCCAAGGGUUGUCAUCAUUGCCACCCCUGCCCAUCCCAAGAUCUCAAUCUCGAGCAGGGGACAUACGCGGCCACGGGCAGCCGCCGGGGACGCCUCUGCAUCGUCGGCGGCAUAAUUAGGAGAGCAGCAUGUGGCGAUUCUGGUGGUCCUUCCUAGCUUCGAAAACUUCCAUAUCCAAGUUCGUUUAUGCUAGAAAGUGUUUACUGGAAUGCAUCUAUAGCAACGGGUAAUUGUCUGACCUUGUAGCAUCAAACAAUUUGCGCUACGAACUGUGGAUCAAUCUAAACAAUUAGAAAUGAGAACAAAAUUACUAACUGUAGCCCAUUUGUGUAUUUAUUCAUCAAGUUCAGUUUUGGAGAUUAUCACAUAUAUUAGGUUUCCAUUAAUCUAGGUACAGUUUGCUGGUGCCAUGCAUUUCCUGUUACAGCUAGUUAAUAAUAGUAUGUGAACUGGUUGAAAUCAUGGGACACUUGAGUCGUUUGUCUAACUAAUACGGGUUAAAUGACUGGUGUGUAUCACAUGCCUGAUGGAGGAGACAGAAAAUGCAACUCUUAUGUUGCUAUCCAAUUUAGUGCAGAGCGAUAAUCCAUCGAUCUCAGAGUGACACUAGGCAUAGUGGGGUGAACUUUUUAUUAGAAGGAGAUUAGCUAAAUAUUAUUACCAAAGAUCCUGCUCAACAUCCAGUUUCAGAAGAAUGUACAACUGUAGGUAACCAUGACGAGUCAUCAAUCUUCUACUGCCUUCCGCUCAAUUUUGUUUGGACGGUGCAUGAUUCCUUUCAUCGUGUCUUCAAUAAACCAAAGAGUUACUAGAGUAGUUCUAAUCAGGUGUAAACUAAUUGUGCAUCGAGUCUUCAAUAAACCAGAGCAGUUUCUACAUACUACACAUAUCUAAUAGUAUUUGCUAAUACUUGAAUACCUUCUGACUGGAUCGAUUUGCAUGGAGACUCGAUUGAUUCUAAUCAUAUACGGUGCACUUGUUCCAUGGAGUAGCGACGGAGAGCAAGCGAGAGGGUUUAGUUCGGUUGAAUCUGGGCAUGCUUUUAGACUUACAAUCGAUCUUGAUUUCCUCCUGAUGCCUGUAUCUGCAUAUGUGCAGCACAUGCAAAGUUGGGCGACAAGAGCCAGCUCGAUGAGGGCUUCCAUUGAAAACAUAUAUCUAAUAUUAUAUUUAAUCUGGAUCUGAUAGGAAAAUGGUCAAAGGCAAUCUAUGAUGGCAUAUUUGUUGAUUGUCAUUUGCAACUUUCUUCUUGAGCAAGCUGAAACAAAAGUGCUGCUCCAUCUAUCGGUUGCAGCUACAGCAUGAGCCCCUCUUUAGAUAGAUGGAUGGAAUUAUAUACUACGAAGUCUUUCUGUGAGGAUGCUUUUGUCAGAAUGUUUCUUUUACAAGAAAACAAAGUUGCACUGAUUUGACAAGGACGGGGGCAGUGGAAGGAGCGGGGCAUGCGUACAGUCAGGCUUCUCAAACGGACAACCAAGGUCCACCUUGUCAUGCGACAUGCCAAGAGCCUCAGGAUCUGCGGCAAGCACCUUGGUACUUCUUUACUUGUCCUUUUUUGGGGGAUAUGUUCUCUCUCUAUCAAUCUCUUUCUAAAUUUUUCUCAUCUUUGUUUCUGUGCCUGCAAUGUGGUCGGUGAAAUACGGUCAUUGAAUAGAGUUUGCAGCUCAUACUACAUAGGAGGACAUAGCAUGAAGAGGGCGAUGACCCUUGGGCGCUUGCCACGGGAUUAAGGGCUUGGACGUCGUCGUCGUCCUUGCCCAUCCGCGCAGGGCACCAUAGUGAACCCCGUCGGCUCCGUCGAUCUGCUAGACCUAGGUUUCAUGGCGGCGCAGAUGAAGGCCUUUUUCGACUCCAGGCCGGCCGCAGCCACAGCAUCGACGACAACCAGAUCAAACCCGACUCCUCUGACAUAUGGAUCGACCGUUGCUCCCUUGCUGACUACAACAAUGGGCUGAUCGGCAUCACACGCCAAAGCACCCACGUCACCAUCUCUAGGCCGUUCCCUUUUCUUCUGUCUGUCCUUGCUGCCACGGCGACUGGGUCAUCAGGCUCGAAUAGUCUUUCAACAUAUGAGUGAUUGAGUGAUACAGGAAGCUGGCUCAGAUUUUGUUUUCGAUCUGAUUGUGUGAUCUGUAUGUUCAUAGGAUAUGUUCGUUGAUGUUUACCUUUUUCUGAAUAUCUUGAUUAUAAAACAUGUUUGAUGCAAUUUUGGAGCUGAA